rnacentral:tRNA from 1 species
AAGGAUUAUUCCAUCCACCCCUAA